rnacentral:rRNA from 1 species
AACGAACGCUGGCGGCAGGCCUAACACAUGCAAGUCGAGCGAGAUCUUCGGAUCUAGCGGCGGACGGGUGAGUAACGCGUGGGAAUAUACCCUUUGGUACGGAAUAGUCCUGGGAAACUGGGGGUAAUACCGUAUGUGCUCUUCGGAGGAAAGAUUUAUCGCCAAAGGAUUAGCCCGCGUUGGAUUAGGUAGUUGGUGGGGUAAUGGCCUACCAAGCCGACGAUCCAUAGCUGGUUUGAGAGGAUGAUCAGCCACACUGGGACUGAGACACGGCCCAGACUCCUACGGGAGGCAGCAGUGGGGAAUCUUAGACAAUGGGCGCAAGCCUGAUCUAGCCAUGCCGCGUGAGUGAUGAAGGCCCUAGGGUUGUAAAGCUCUUUCAGCUGGGAAGAUAAUGACGGUACCAGCAGAAGAAGCCCCGGCUAACUCCGUG